rnacentral:rRNA from 1 species
CCUACGGGAGACUGCAGUGGGGAAUAUUGGACAAUGGGGGCAACCCUGAUCCAGCCAUGCCGCGUGUGUGAAGAAGGCCCUCGGGUUGUAAAGCACUUUCAGUGAGGAAGAACGCCUGGUGGUUAAUACCCAUCAGGAAAGACAUCACUCACAGAAGAAGCACCGGCUAACUCCGUGCCAGCAGCCGCGGUAAUACGGAGGGUGCGAGCGUUAAUCGGAAUUACUGGGCGUAAAGCGCGCGUAGGUGGCUUGAUAAGCCGGUUGUGAAAGCCCCGGGCUCAACCUGGGAACGGCAUCCGGAACUGUCAAGCUAGAGUGCAGGAGAGGAAGGUAGAAUUCCCGGUGUAGCGGUGAAAUGCGUAGAGAUCGGGAGGAAUACCAGUGGCGAAGGCGGCCUUCUGGACUGACACUGACACUGAGGUGCGAAAGCGUGGGUAGCAAACAGGAUUAGAUACCCGUGUAGUC